rnacentral:rRNA from 1 species
AUUGAACGCUGGCGGCAGGCUUAACACAUGCAGGUCGAACGCCCCGCAAGGGGAGUGGCAGACGGGUGAGUAACGCGUGGGAAUCUACCUAGUUCUACGGAACAACUGAGGGAAACUUCAGCUAAUACCGUAUACGCCCUACGGGGGAAAGAUUUAUCGGAAUUAGAUGAGCCCGCGUAAGAUUAGCUAGUUGGUGGGGUAAUGGCCUACCAAGGCGACGAUCUUUAGCUGGUCUGAGAGGAUGAUCAGCCACACUGGGACUGAGACACGGCCCAGACUCCUACGGGAGGCAGCAGUGGGGAAUAUUGGACAAUGGGCGCAAGCCUGAUCCAGCCAUGCCGCGUGAGUGAUGAAGGCCUUAGGGUUGUAAAGCUCUUUCAGUGGGGAAGGUAAUGACGGUACCCACAGAAGAAGCCCCGGCUAACUUCGUGCCAGCAGCCGCGGUAAUAC